AAUGAACGUUGGCGGCAUGGAUUAGGCAUGCAAGUCGAGCGAGAAGUGUAGCAAUACACGGAAAGCGGCGGAAGGGAGAGUAAUACGUGGGAAUCUGCCCUUAGACCUGGGAUAGCAGCGGGAAACUGCUGGUAAUACCAGAUAAUGUCUAUGGACCAAAGGUGUGAUUCCUCUAGGGAUGAGCCCACGUCCUAUUAGCUAGUUGGUAGGGUAAUGGCCUACCAAGGCGAUGAUGGGUAGCGGGUGUGAGAGCAUGACCCGCCUCACUGGGACUGAGACACUGCCCAGACACCUACGGGUGGCUGCAGUCGAGAAUCUUCGGCAAUGGGCGCAAGCCUGACCGAGCGAUGCCGCGUGCGGGAUGAAGGCCUUCGGGUUGUAAACCGCUGUCGAGGGGGAGCAACUUCCAUAGAGUUACCUUUAUGGAUUGAGUGAUCCCUGGAGGAAGGACGGGCUAAGUUCGUGCCAGCCGCCGCCGUAAUAC
rnacentral:rRNA from 1 species